UCAGCUCUCCCAGCAUUGCGCUGAGAUCAAGUGUAGUAUCUGUUCUGCCCAGCUUAAUCCCUGGCGCUGUCCCUAUAUGGCGACUGUCCUUUUCGGAUUUACUAUUUUUGUUGAAGCGGUGGAUCCGUGCUGCGCUUGCGUGGUAUGGGUUUGUCGAGUGUGUCCCUGGUCUUACACUGUUUCCAGGCGAUGCGAACUUUGA
rnacentral:snRNA from 1 species